UGGGGAAUAUUGCACAAUGGGCGAAAGCCUGAUGCAGCAACGCCGCGUGAGUGAUGAAGGCCUUCGGGUUGUAAAGCUCUGUCUUUUGGGACGAUAAUGACGGUACCAAAGGAGGAAGCCACGGCUAACUACGUGCCAGCAGCCGCGGUAAUACGUAGGUGGCAAGCGUUGUCCGGAAUUAUUGGGCGUAAAGAGCGCGUAGGCGGGAUAGUCAGUCUGUUGUAAAAGUGCGGGGCUCAACCCCGUGAUCGCAAUGGAAACAGCUAUUCUUGAGUGCAGGAGAGGAAAGUGGAAUUCCCAGUGUAGCGGUGAAAUGCGUAGAUAUUGGGAGGAACACCAGUGGCGAAGGCGACUUUCUGGACUGUGUCUGACGCUGAGGCGCGAAAAGCCAGGGGAGCGAACGGGAUUAGAUACCCCGGUAGUCCUGGCCGUAAACGAUGGGUACUAGGUGUGGGAGGUAUCGACCCCUUCCGUGCCGGAGUUAACGCAAUAAGUACCCCGCCUGGGGAGUACGGUCGCAAGACUGAAACUCAAAGGAAUUGAC
rnacentral:rRNA from 1 species